rnacentral:rRNA from 1 species
GACGAACCGUGCGAACGUUGUUCGGAAUCACUGGGCUUAAAGGGCGCGUAGGCGGAUUGCUAAGUCAGGGGUGAAAUCCUGGAGCUCAACUCCAGAACUGCCUUUGAUACUGGCGACCUUGAGUCCGGGAGAGGUGAGUGGAACUGCGAGUGUAGAGGUGAAAUUCGUAGAUAUUCGCAAGAACACCAGUGGCGAAGGCGGCUCACUGGCCCGGUACUGACGCUGAGGUGCGAAAGCGUGGGGAGCAAACAGG